AAUUUCAGUUCCGCCUAAAAUAGUUAAAAAUUUUCCAAUAAAUUAAACCUUAAUUUUAGAGUAACUCAAAUAAGGUACAGCCUAUUUGAUACAGGAUUCAACCUUCACAAACGGGUAAUAGUUAUUUCACACACCCAAGUGGGCCUAGGAGCAGCCAUCUUAUUAAAAGCGUUAAAGCUUAAACGUGUAAAUUUUUAAUUCAUAACCCACUAUCAACCCCUUCACUACUACUGAAAACUUCUAUAAAAAUAGAACUUUUUAUGCUAAAACUAGUAACAAGGGGAAGCCCCCCCUCUAAGAUGUAAGUAUAAGCCAAAAAGAACCCAUCAUUGGCACUCAACAAGCGAAAAUAGUAACUAUACUAGAAAAUUCUAUUUUGCACCCUGUUAAUCUAACACCAGAACAUCUCAAGAAAGAUUAAAAGAAAAAGAAGGAACUCGGCAAAUAUUAGCCCCGCCUGUUUACCAAAAACAUCACCUCUUGAUACUAUAAGAGGCCUGGCCUGCCCGGUGACUCUUGUUUAACGGCCGCGGAACCCUGACCGUGCGAAGGUAGCGUAAUCACUUGUCCUAUAAAUGAGGACUAGUAUGAAAGACUUCACGAGGACUAAACUGUCUCCUUUUUCUGAUCAGUGAACCUAAUCUCCCCGUGAAGAAGCGGGCAUAACUAUAUAAGACGAGAAGACCCCAUGGAGCUUAAAACACUUCUACACCUGUCACAAUUCCCUGAUAACUGCUAUGACACCCUGUUUAAAUGUUUUUGGUUGGGGUGACUGCGGAGAAUAAUAAAACCCCCGCGAUGAAAGGUACAUUCCCUAAACUAUAAGUUACAACUUUAAGUAUCAGAAAACUGACAUCCUUUGACCCAAUUACUUGAUCAACGAACCAAGUUACCCUGGGGAUAACAGCGCAAUCCACUUUAAGAGCUCUUAUCGACAGGUGGGCUUACGACCUCGAUGUUGGAUCAGGGUAUCCUAGUGGUGCAGCCGCUACUAAAGGUUCGUUUGUUCAACGAUUAAAACCCUACGUGAUCUGAGUUCAGACCGGAGCAAUCCAGGUCAGUUUCUAUCUAUAACAGAGCUUUUUUUAGUACGAAAGGAUCAAGACAGCAUGGCCUAUUUUUAUACAAGCCAUAGUUAAUCACUCUAGACUAACUCUUAAAGAAUAAUUAACCUCUAUAAAUUCUUCAAAAGAAGAACAGUUAAUGUAGCACACCUCGGCUCUGCAAAAGAUCUAAACCCUUUUUAUGGGGGUUCAAAUCCCCUCACUA
rnacentral:rRNA from 1 species